rnacentral:rRNA from 2 species
ACGGGAGGCAGCAGUGAGGAAUAUUGGUCAAUGGGCGGAAGCCUGAACCAGCCAAGUCGCGUGAAGGAAGACGGUAUUAUGUAUUGUAAACUUCUUUAGGCGCAGAGAAAUAAGCUCCACGCGUGGAGUGAUGCUAGUAUGCGCAGAAUAAGGAUCGGCUAACUCCGUGCCAGCAGCCGCGGUAAUACGGAGGAUCCGAGCGUUAUCCGGAUUUAUUGGGUUUAAAGGGUGCGCAGGCGGUUUGUUAAGUCAGCGGUUAAAUAGUGGAGCUCAACUCCAUCCCGCCGUUGAUACUGGCAGACUUGAUUGCGGUCGAGGUUGGCGGAAUUCGCCGUGUAGCGGUGAAAUGCAUAGAUAUGGCGAAGAACUCCGAUUGCGUAGGCAGCUGACCAGGCCGUAAAUGACGCUCAUGCACGAAAGUGCGGGGAUCGAACAGGAUUAGAUACCCUGGUA